AAUGAACGCUGGCGGCAGGCCUAACACAUGCAAGUCGAACGCCCCGCAAGUGGAGCGGUAGACUGGUGAGUAACGCGUGGGAACGUACCCAUGUCUUCGGCAUAGCCUCGGGUUACGGGAAUUAAUACCGAAUGUGCCCUAUGCGGGAAAGGUAUAUCGGAUAAGGAUCGGCGCGCGGUGGAUUAGCUAGUUGGUGGGGUAAAGGCCUACCAAGGCGACGAUCCAUAGCUGGUCUGAGAGGAUGAUCAGCUACAUUGGGACUGAGACACGGCCCAAACUCCUACGGGAGGCAGCAGUGGGGAAUAUUGGACGAUGGGCGCAAGCCUGAUCCAGCCAUGCCGGGUGAGUGAUGAAGGCCUUAGGGUUGUAAAGCUCUUUCACCGGAGAAGAUAAUGACGGUAUCCGGAGAAGAAGCCCCGGCUAACUUCGUG
rnacentral:rRNA from 1 species